rnacentral:lncRNA from 1 species
UAACCCAUACUUCCCUUCCCCCUUCCGUAUCAUUUGAAGGGACCACGCUCUUCCCUUCCAGCAGUUCCCUUCCUUAUCACUAGGACCCCAAGACCUGGGAACCAGCCUGGGUGGGGGUCAGUGGUGGAUGUGGCCCCAAAAGCAGCUUAGGGGGUCCCUUCCUUGUGGCUGCUUCUUGACUGGAUGGAGCAGUGUUCAGGCCUUUCCCCUGUGACGUUUUCUCCUAAUAACGUCACAGGCCUUUCUCAUGUGACUUUAUUACAGCGGCUGGGGCGUCCCUGUGAGAGGCCUGACCCAGGUGUGGGGGGCGCAGCCAGACCGGGGUGCUCCUGGGGUGCAGAGGAUUCGUGGCAGCACGGAGAGUCCGAGGGAAAGGUGACUUUGGAAAGGCAAGUGCCAGGUUACUAGGACCGUGUAUAUUCACUUCUGGCAGUGAAAUGACGGUUUCAGACACUAUGAGGGAGCUUCCCGAGUAGGAUACAAAGAAAGCCUGCAGCUACCAGGUCCACGGGCUGAUAGCCCCACCUCUACGGAGAAGGCUACACGGCGCAUGCUCGAAGGGCGUGACAAGGGGCGGGGCGAGAAGGAAGGGGCGGGGCUGAGGGGAGGGGUGGGGCAGAAGAAAGGGGCCGUGUGCGCCCACAUACUGGAGGAUCAACAUUAUCAUGGCAACCCUGAGGAGGCUGUGAGAGUCUCUGGGGUCCUUGCCGGCCUGCAGAAAAUCAAGCUUUGAGCGGGAAGCUUCGAGGAGACACAGUGUCACAAUUACAAGGUGAGACCAGAUGCCCUGGCCCCGCUGUCUCCUCGCAGGCAGGAGAGGUUUGGGAACACCCACGCUUCCCUCAGCAAGGCAGAACUGCACUGGACGCAUGGAAGUGUGAUUUGGAAAGCGGGACCUUCGUACGGAAUGUUCGGAGUUGUAGUAUCUGUUCUACUCCCAGCCUGUUGGUUCUAGGGCUGCGGACUAUAAUCCCAGCAUGCACUGGGUUUGGGUAAGAGACUGAAGCAUCCAGGUGAAGAACUGGCAUUGCUUCUACCUGUGGAGAGAGGACACCUGUAGGCUGCACGAUUGACUGUGAAUUUAGGAGGAGGAUUAAAAGUUACCUGGCAAACAGUAGGCACCCUACAAAUACUGAUUUUUCCCCCUCCUUUAAAAAGUUUGAUCUCUUGUUAGAUGGUGUUGAGUAAUACAGAAAUGGCAGGUAUGCAUGUGAUUGGUGCUUAAAUGCACACAGUUCCCCAUACCACAAGAGGAAACACACCACAGCCUGAUCAUUAGGACCAACAGCAAAAUAAGUUUGCCUUUAAUCUAUUCACUGCAUAUCUAAACUUUGAUCAAGCCCAUGGACACACCUGAAGACAUGGGGUUUCCUUCUUCUGGGCACAAUCAUCCUUUGAUCAGUGUCUGCUCUGUAAAACAGGAUUCCCCCUAACUCUACCAACCAGCAGAUGGGAAGUAGUAAUCCACCCGUGGACACUUCCUGCUUGCAGCCCACUGCUCUCUCAGGUUACCAUUUUCAGAUGUUGCAAGGAUGGGGUACUCCCUUGCCUCUGAAAGGGAAUGGAGGGUGGGGGGUGUGGUUCAGCACUCAGAGCUUCACUUCAAUGUGGCAGCCACUGACCAUUGGGACCACUGAGCCCCUGGAAUGUGGCUGGUCUGUAUUGAGAUGUGCUGGAAGUUUAAAAUACAGAGUUUUAUGGUUUUAUUCUUUGUGUGUGUGUGUGUGUGUGUGUGUGUGUAUGUAUGUG